GCAACAGACGCUGAUGCGGUGCUACGCAGGAAGCCACGCGGACGAUCCGCGUGCCCGCUAUGAACGGCCCAAGUCCAUUCCCACGCGCACGGACGGCCUGCACUCCCUCCCAAACGCGAUCGAACGGCCAGAUUCGAACGCGAUCAGACGACCCAUAGUGAAUCGCAAUAGACGGUCCAGAUUGGAUCACGAUGAACGACCUAGACGGUUCAGAUCAAAUGCGAUGGAUGGUCCAUAUCAAAAGCGGACUUAUAUAAAUAACCACCAUCUGCACCAAACCUUAACCCUAGCCGCCAGACCCCCUCGCCGGAGAAGAUGACCCAGUCGCCAGGGAGUCGACCACCGCCACCCGUCGCCGCACCAGGACCCUUUCCGACCGCCAAAAAAGGUAAAAACUUCUCCUUCACGGAAUUCAAUUU
rnacentral:lncRNA from 1 species